GGUGGGUGUAGCUUAUUUGGUAAAGCAUCAGUUUGUGGCACUGGGGAGUGUGAGUUCAAUUCUCACCAUCCGCC
rnacentral:tRNA from 2 species